GUGUGUAAAGGUUAUGUGGCUUUGACAUCUGUUACCUUGCCCAUAACCAGGACUAAGGUGGCUGCUUUUGGUUGUCUGCACCUAUGUCUCCUGACUUUAUCACCUGGUGGUCUCCUUUCCAGAAUUCACACCUUCAGCCAAAAAGACUAAGGGUUCCUGGGAGACAAGAAGCAUCCUUCAUUCAAGGGUGGGGGAGGGAGCACAGACAUAUGGCCCAUGACCACAAGUAGGAAAAUCACUUGGAAUUUUCCCAGGUGG
ensembl:misc_RNA 7SK 7SK RNA